UACGGAGGGUGCAAGCGUUAUCCGGAUUUACUGGGUUUAAAGGGUGUGUAGGCGGACUUUUAAGUCAGCGGUGAAAUCUCCGGGCUCAACCCGGAAACUGCCAUUGAUACUAUUGGUCUUGAAUGUUGUUGAGGUGGGCGGAACGGGUCAUGUAGCGGUGAAAUGCAUAGACAUGACCCGGAACACCGAUUGCGAAGGCAGCCCACUAAGCAAUGAUUGACGCUGAGGCACGAAAGCGUGGGGAUCAAACAGG
rnacentral:rRNA from 1 species